rnacentral:misc_RNA from 1 species
GAUUAUUUAUUUAUUUAUUUUCUGUUUACCUUUCUUUUGUCGUCUACAGGAGCUACCGGUCUGGCUCAGGAGCGAUCCCGAGUCGCCUGUAGUAUCAAGGUCAAGAUCAUCAAGAUCACACUGUCCAGUAGGCAAUAGCUGUGAGGCUGUCGCGGUGUGAGUUGUCAUCCAACUCGAUAUGCGAGGUGGUGAUUGAGUGGCAUGACGUGACAGAUGAGGCAACAAAAGAAGAUGCUUUGUGGAUACCGCCAGCAGAUGUGAUUCGUAGUUCGAAAUGCAAGUGUGUACUCCAAGAACAAAACACUGUCACCCGUACCGGCGUAGAAAAGUUGUUAGAUUGUGGAAGUCAGUAGUGGCUGGUGCUGUGACGCUAACAUUUGUAGUAUGUGUUGUAGUGCCUCUUGUCUUCCACUAUUCACCGGGUCUACAGCGAUUCUUUUUGUUCCUUAACACAGUUACUACACCAAUAAGCCUCAAUAGGCCUGAAGAUGUGGGCCUUCCUGGAAGUCGUAAUUUUUAUCUUAAGACAGACAAAGAUGUUACUAUUGGAAUAUGGCAUAUACUGCCAAGCUCACUUAUUCACUCAGUCCCUGAUGAUGUGAGAGAGUGGGCAGUCUGGUAUGAAAGCAGUCUGAAGCAGCAGCAGCCAAUCAUUUUGUAUUUACAUGGUAACAAAGGAUCCAGAGCGGAGAGUCACAGAGUUGAAUUGUAUAAUAAACUUCGAAGAAUGGAUUACCAUGUUAUUGCACUUGAUUACAGAGGUUAUGGGGAUUCUUCCCCCGUGGCACCAUCUGAAGAAGGUUUGGUGGCAGAUACAAAAGCUGUGUUUAGAUAUCUUCGUGAUAAGUCAGGAAACUCCCCUCUCUUUGUGUGGGGACAUUCUCUUGGUACUGGUGUGUCUUGCCAUGCUCUGUCUGAACUUUGUCAAGCGAAUGAGUGUCCGCAGGGUCUGGUGCUGGAAGCUCCUUUUAACAAUUUACAUGAUGAAAUCAGACUUAAUCCCCUGUCUCAGGUCUUCCAUAGUUUGCCAUAUUUUGACUGGGCUUUCAUCGAUCCUAUACGAGAUUCUGGGAAUGAGUUUAAGAGUGAUAGUCACAUCAUGUAUAUUCCAUGUCCAGUUUUGAUCCUUCAUGCCCAAGAUGAUGUAGUUGUGCCAAUUGAACUGGGAAGAAGGCUUUAUAAGGCGGCUAAGGAUUCACGUCUCCCAGAUGCCAUGCCAGUCACAUUCGUUGAGCUGGAGGCAGAAUAUGGCUUUGGCCACCUAGACAUUCCUCAUGCACCAAACUUUUUGUCUAUUAUUAGGAAGUUUGUGGAUAAACCAGAAGCAAAACUUUUUAGUUGAAGUUUAUUUUGUGAUGCUGGACCUGGGACUGAACAUAACAAAGAACAGUUGAACUCAGAAGAACAAGGCAUCACAGUGGAAGUGUGUGUGUGUGUGU